CCCUUAGAUGUUCUGGGCCGCACGCGCGCUACACUGAUGCAAUCAACGAGUUUCUUCCUGGUCCGAGAGGAAUGGGUAACCUUUUGAAAGUGCAUCGUGAUAGGGAUAGACUAUUGCAAUUAUUGGUCUUCAACGAGGAAUUCCUAGUAGACGUAGUUCAUCAGACUGCAUCGAUUACGUCCCUGCCCUUUGUACACACCGCCCGUCGCUCCUACCGAUUGAAUGCUCAGGUGAGCCAUUCGGACUUUCAUCAUGCUGGUUUCCAGUUUUGAUGAAGGAAAGUCUUGCGAACCUUAUCAUUUAGAGGAAGGAGAAGUCGUAACA
rnacentral:rRNA from 1 species